CUAGGCGGCACCUGGAGGAGGAGCCAGGGAGCCAUGAGGACUAAUUGAAAGCUGAAGCUCACCUGAGCAGAACAGCCAGGGCUUGUAUAAAGUCAGACAGCUGGAGGCCGAAUGGGGCUACAGGGAGGAGGUUUGCAGUCAUUCCCCCUGAGACUAGGGAGAGAAGGGAGCUAGGCUUGUAGGGAAGGACGUGCCUGGAGGAGGGUGGAGAAAGAGGUGGAUAGAGGCAGCAUAGGAAGCAGUCCAGGGAAACCGCAGCAAGGUGUGGGACUGCACAGACCUUAGCGGCUGGGUGUAGGGUCCCCAGGCUGGAACCCAGAGAAGAGGGCGGGCCUGGGUUCCCCUACCAGCCAGGGGGGAAGUGGCACCAUUGAGGCAGUGAACUGGAAGGCUGCCUGGGACAGAGAGACAUUGGCCUGCACCCGCAGAAAGGGAGAACCAAGCCACCAAGAGGGAGCAGUCGAGUCCUGAGAGAGAGUCGGAGUGAGCAUCUGCAGGAAGAGGCAUCAGAUGGGCAGAGCUAAUCCUCCUCUAUGACCACAAGGAGGUGCUGCGGUGAGAGGCUGCUCUGUAGCAGAGAUGCCCCGAUUUCCAUCCAUGGAGGAAUGUGACACGUGAGCCCUGGCUAAAUCCCAGCCCCUCAUUUCCCAUUGUCGAGAGUGCUUCUAGUGACUCAGCUUAUUACUGCCCCUUGCCUUCCAAGCCUGGAUUCUCCUUCCAAAGAAGUGGAGCAAGGGAAUCAUGUGAAUUGCCCUGUCAGCACUGAGAACAUAAGAUUCUGACCUCAGGCUGGGAAUGAGCAAGAGGAGCAGAUGGAACUCUUGAGCGGCAAGGUCCCAUUUAUCAUGCAGUUAUCUUCAGGAGGAAGGGGAGGACAGAAAG